rnacentral:rRNA from 1 species
UAAUGUGUGGGAAAGUGCCUGGUGGAGGGGGAUAAUAACUGCAAACGGGGCUAAUACCGCAGAACGUCACAAGACCUAUAAGGGGGACCUUCGGGCCUCUUGCCCUCAAAUGUGCCCCGACGGCAUUAGCUAGUAGGUGGGGAAAUGGCUCACCCAGGCGACGAUCCCUAGCUGGUUUGAUAGGAUGACCAGCCCCACGGGGACUGAGACACGGUCCAGACUCCUACGGGAGGCAGCAGUGGGGAAUAUUGCUUCUGGGCUUUGCCUGAUGCAGCCAUGCCGCGUGUAUGAAGAAACCUUCAGGUUGUAAAGGCUUUGAACGGGGAGGAAGGUGAUACAGUUAAUAACCGUGUCAAUUGAGGUUACCCGAUGAAUAAGCCCCGGGUAACUCCGUGCCCGCAGGCGC